GUAUUGGCAGUUGGUGGUAUCCACGGGGCUAUUCGACCAAGAUCCAUCUACUGCGCUGGACGUCGACUUGAAGUUGGUGUGCCGAAACUUGCUUCUGCAAACGCUGAAUUCAGGCUCGGGAAUGCACAAGAGCCAGAUAUCUGUAUGCCCAGUAUGCUGAUAUACUCAGUACACUCAGUAAUAUCAGUAUACUCAGUAUGCUGAUAUUGUCAUGAGAAUGAAAGUUCUUGUAAAGACUGAGAAUGAGAGUGUAGAAAACUAUACAUCUGAUUCAGUGGAUAGCAAGACUGGACUUAGCACUAUAUUUAAGGAUCCAAAUUUUAAGCAUACUAACAAGACGGCCAACAAGAAGCGAGCCUGGCGCCCCCUGAAACAGCUCAUCAGUCUGGAGCGCAGCCUGCCCUUCCCCGCCGACGCGGUCACAU
rnacentral:misc_RNA from 1 species